CGCGGGGUGGAGCAGCACGGUAGCUCGUCGGGCUCAUAACCCGAAGGUCGUCGGUUCAAAUCCGGCCCCCGCAACCA
rnacentral:tRNA from 4 species